rfam:Drosophila mojavensis strain TSC#15081-1352.22 Ctg01_7959, whole genome shotgun sequence.
UUUGCGCUUAUGACGCAAUAUUCAUAAACUCAUCAUUUGAGUGGAAUAUUGCUGAUACAUCUACGCGGA